rnacentral:misc_RNA from 1 species
ACGAAGUGUUGUCUGCUCCGAAACUCUUCGCACCAGAAAAGGAAGUACUAAAUCCACUUGCUAUCAAAUCAAAUUGCUCCUCAAAAGUUAAAGGUCUCGUUCUGAAUCUCCAUCUUAAUGUUUUCUUCGUGACUUUAGAAGCUAACAUUUCAUUCAAUCUUCAGAAUUUGUUUGGGCGGAAAUUAACAAAACUUGGUCGGUG